rnacentral:rRNA from 1 species
UACGUAGGAUGCAAGCGUUGUCCGGAAUUAUUGGGCGUAAAGAGUUCGUAGGCGGUUUUUCAAGUCUGGUGUUAAAUACCGGGGCUCAACCCCGGCACGGCACUGGAAACUGUAGAACUUGAGUUAGGUAGAGGCAAAGGGAAUUCCCGGAGUAGCGGUGAAAUGCGUAGAUAUCGGGAGGAACACCAGUGGCGAAAGCGCUUUGCUGGGCCUAAACUGACGCUGAGGAACGAAAGCCAGGGUAGCGAAAGAG